UCACAGUUUGCACUGGCAGUCUUGUUAGAGUUCCCGACAUGACUCGCUGGCAACUAACAACAGGGGUUGCGCUCGUUAUAGGACUUAACCUGACACCUCACGGCACGAGCUGACGACAACCAUGCAGCACCUUGUAAGUUGUCUUGCGAAAGGCCUGUUUCCAAGCCGGUCAACCUACAUUUAAGCCUUGGUAAGGUUCCUCGCGUAUCAUCGAAUUAAACCACAUGCUCCACCGCUUGUGCGGGCCCCCGUCAAUUCCUUUGAGUUUCAAACUUGCGUUCGUACUCCCCAGGUGGGAUACUUAUCACUUUCGCUUAGCCACCCAGGCUUGCGCCCGGACAGCUAGUAUCCAUCGUUUACGGCGUGGACUAC
rnacentral:misc_RNA from 1 species